rnacentral:rRNA from 1 species
CCGUACACAAAAGCGCAUGUGCUGUGAGCUCGAUGAGUAGGGCGGGACACGUGGUAUCCUGUCUGAAUAUGGGGGGACCAUCCUCCAAGGCUAAAUACUCCUGACUGACCGAUAGUGAACCAGUACCGUGAGGGAAAGGCGAAAAGAACCCCGGCGAGGGGAGUGAAAAAGAACCUGAAACCGUGUACGUACAAGCAGUGGGAGCACAGGUUUACCUGUGUGACUGCGUACCUUUUGUAUAAUGGGUCAGCGACUUAUAUUCUGUAGCAAGGUUAACCGAAUAGGGGAGCCGGAGGGAAACCGAGUCUUAAUUGGGCGUUAAGUUGCAGGGUAUAGACCCGAAACCCGGUGAUCUAGCCAUGGGCAGGUUGAAGGUUGGGUAACACUAACUGGAGGACCGAACCGACUAAUGUUGAAAAAUUAGCGGAUGACCUGUGGCUGGGGGUGAAAGGCCAAUCAAACCGGGAGAUAGCUGGUUCUCCCCGAAAGCUAUUUAGGUAGCGCCUCGUGAAUUCAUCUCCGGGGGUAGAGCACUGUUUCGGCUAGGGGGCCAUCCCGGCUUACCAACCCGAUGCAAACUGCGAAUACCGGAGAAUGUUAUCACGGGAGACACACGGCGGGUGCUAACGUCCGUCGUGAAGAGGGAAACAACCCAGACCGCCAGCUAAGGUCCCAAAGUCAUGGUUAAGUGGGAAACGAUGUGGGAAGGCCCAGACAGCCAGGAUGUUGGCUUAGAAGCAGCCAUCAUUUAAAGAAAGCGUAAUAGCUCACUGGUCGAGUCGGCCUGCGCGGAAGAUGUAACGGGGCUAAACCAUGCACCGAAGCUGCGGCAGCGAACGUAUCACCCAAGACAACUUUACGGAGUUGACGAUUGACGGAGCGAAGCGACGUCAAAGCGUUCAUUAAAGUCGAGUUGGCUUAGGGAUACGUUCGUUGGGUAGGGGAGCGUUCUGUAAGCCUGUGAAGGUGUGUCGUGAGGCAUGCUGGAGGUAUCAGAAGUGCGAAUGCUGACAUAAGUAACGAUAAAGCGGGUGAAAAGCCCGCUCGCCGGAAGACCAAGGGUUCCUGUCCAACGUUAAUCGGGGCAGGGUGAGUCGACCCCUAAGGCGAGGCCGAAAGGCGUAGUCGAUGGGAAACGGGUUAAUAUUCCCGUACUUGGUGUUACUGCGAAGGGGGGACGGAGAAGGCUAUGUUGGCCGGGCGACGGUUGUCCCGGUUUAAGCGUGUAGGUGUGUGUUCCAGGUAAAUCCGGUUCACUU